rnacentral:rRNA from 1 species
CAGAGGUCCCGAGCGUUGUUCGGAUUCACUGGGCGUAAAGGGUGCGUAGGUGGUGAGGGUAAGUCGGAUGUGAAAUCUCCGGGCUCAACCCGGAAAUGGCAUUGGAAACUACCUUGCUGGAGGAUUUGAGGGGGGAUUGGAAUACUUGGUGUAGCAGUGAAAUGCGUAGAUAUCAAGUGGAACACCAGUGGCGAAGGCGAAUCCCUGGAAAAUACCUGACACUGAGGCACGAAAGCUAGGGGAGCAAACAGGAUUAGAUACCCUGGUAGUCCUAGCCCUAAACGGUGCUUGCUUGCUGUAAGAGGAAUCGACCCCUCUUGUGGCGGAGCUAACGCGUUAAGCAAGCCGCCUGGGAAGUACGGUCGCAAGAUUA